rnacentral:rRNA from 1 species
GACGAACGCUGGCGGCGUGCUUAACACAUGCAAGUCGAACGGCGAAGCUCCAGCUUGCUGGAGUGGAUCAGUGGCGAACGGGUGAGUAACACGUGAGCAACCUGCCCCUGACUCUGGAAUAAGCGCUGGAAACGGCGUCUAAUACUGGAUACGAGAAGGGUCCGCAUGGGCACUUUCUGGAAAGUGUUUCGGUUGGGGAUGGUCUCGCGGCCUAUCGGCUUGUUGGUGAGGUAGUGGCUCACCAAGGGGACGACGGGUAGCCGGCCUGAGAGGGCGAACGGCCACACGGGGCCUAAGAGACGGAGCAGUGUGCUACGGUAGGCAACAGGGGGGAAUAUUGCACAGUGGGCGCGCGCCUGUGGCAGAGGCGCUGGGUUAGUGAUGCCCGCCUUCUGGUUGUGAACCUCUGUCAGCAGAGAAGAAGCGAAAGUGACGGUACCUGAAGAAGAAGCACCGGCUAACUACGUG